GGUUCUUUAGCUUAACUGGUAAAGCCCUUCGCUCAUAACGGAGUAAGUGCAGGUUCGAGUCCUGCAAGAACCA
rnacentral:tRNA from 1 species